rnacentral:SRP_RNA from 1 species
GCCAGGUGUGGUGGCUUGCACCUGUAGUCCCAGCUACUUGGGAAGCUGAGGUGGGAGGAUUGCUUGAGCCCAGGAGUUUGGAGACUACAGUGAGUUAUGAUCAUGUCACUGCACUCCAGCCUGGGCAACAGAGCAAGACUCCAUCUGUA